UUUUUGGGUAUCUGGAAUUUGAUUAUAAAGAGUAUGAAAAAUGUUUAAAUGGUUUUUAGACUUGCAAUUUUAGUACUUCUCUUCAAUCCAGUAGCUAGAUUUUGGUCCUGGGCCAGCUUGCGUGCAUCUCGACUGAUUCAGCGAGUACAUGCUACUUUCCACCAGCACAGGUAUCGGGUAACUCUGUCCACCAAGGCUUGGAUCGAUAUAAAAAAAUCGCCUUGGUCUUGGUUUUGCUUAGUUUAUCUAUUAGGA
rnacentral:lncRNA from 1 species